GGGGAUCCGUGCGCGGAUGUCCCGGCGAGUCCCGGGCUGAAAGAGGCGGCUCCGGGCGGCGCGGAGCGCUGGUGGCGGGCCCGGGCUGCGGCGUGUGCGCGCCCGCCAGCUGCUCCGGAGAUACGGAAUUGCAUUUUGUGAAAAAAGAACAAGAAUUUUCUGCAAGGAUCAUAUCUAAGUGCACUUUUUGCUGAUACUUCAUUUCUAAUCUUGUAGAAAAUUUCAGCUGUAGCCCUUGGACUAGAAGCUGAAAUAACAGAAGCUGUGUACGAUGCAUUAGGGUAUUGAAGAAAAUUAACUUUUGAAUUAAAUAUUUGGAAUAUAAGGAAAUAAGGAAAGGUGACUGAAAAUGGGGCGGAAGAAAAUACAAAUCACACGCAUAAUGGAUGAAAGGAACCGACAGGUCACUUUUACAAAGAGAAAGUUUGGAUUAAUGAAGAAAGCCUAUGAACUUAGUGUGCUCUGUGACUGUGAAAUAGCACUCAUCAUUUUCAACAGCUCUAACAAACUGUUUCAAUAUGCUAGCACUGAUAUGGACAAAGUUCUUCUCAAGUAUACAGAAUAUAAUGAACCUCAUGAAAGCAGAACCAACUCGGAUAUUGUUGAGACUUUAAGAAAGAAAGGCCUUAAUGGUUGUGAGAGCCCUGAUGCUGACGAUUACUUUGAGCACAGUCCACUCUCGGAGGACAGAUUCAGCAAACUAAAUGAAGAUAGUGAUUUUAUUUUCAAACGAGGCCCUGUAAGUACUUUUACUUUACCUCUACUUUUUAUUUGUUGAUCCUUUUUGUUAACUUCAUUAUUUAGGCUCUGAACAAGAAGGAACACAGAGGGUGCGACAGCCCAGACC
rnacentral:sRNA from 1 species